AGCAGCAAAUUUACUUCACCGUCGGUACGGCAGGUAAUGCGUCGAUAAAUUAAAACGAAACAGCGUUUCCAAGAACCGGUGUCUUAUAUGUAUGCUUGUUCCUCUCUUUUAAAAUGAAACAAUAAUUUAAGUGUUUGUACAUGAACUUGAAAACAUAAACGUAUUUGUCACCAAGACGGAGGCUGCGUGGAAGUGACUAUCGGUUAACAAACAUGUAUAUGUGUUAUAUGAAUUUAGAUGUGUUAUUGAGUCGUAUUUAGUUACUAUUUUAUAUUCAUUUCAUAAUAUUUUUGGGUUGUCUCCUGUGAUUUCAAAUUUAAAUUGACCAACCCUCUGAUCUGUGGCUGAUACUGUAACAGAGAUGUUAUGUUUUUAGCAGAGAUCAGAUGUGAUGUUGUUUUCCAAUUCUUUUUUUAGAGUGUGCAGAGUUUUAAACGUUCAUCCAUUGAUAAGGCUAGCAAGACCUUCAAACAACUUCAGCCAAUUGCAACAAAUGUGGUGGAAUUUCUUCUCUGGACAGAAUCCUCGAAACCCUUUCCUUUCGUCCUGGCCAUGGGAAACAUGCAGCAGAUCUCUCAAUCUUUAUUCUCAAUCAGUCUCUCUGAAUACGGAAGUGACUUAAACUGCAAUUCGGCCAAGAUGGCGACGGCACGCACCGCCUACUUUAAGCUUCAAAAAUGCUCUUCACAAACCAAUAGGUGACGUCACGGACACUACUUGCAUAUUUUUUACAGUCUCUGGUUUAAAGGCAUUUUAAGUGCUUGAAAA